CAAGAAAAGACUUCUCUCAGCAAGAAUCGUGCAAGGGGGUGAUGACACUGAAGCCCUGUAUGCCAUUGAACUCAAUGCGUUUACUGGUUGUCUCCUGACAGAAGACGAAAAAAGAUUCAACCCAACCGUGCUGGCACGUAAAGUUGCUUGUGCAAAGUUGAAGAAGAUCGACACAGCAGCCUCUAAAGUCGCUUUGAAGGAGGACUCAAGGAACCUGCUUGCGGCCCAAAGUAUAAUUAAAGCACAC